rnacentral:rRNA from 1 species
UACGUAGGGUGCAAGCGUUGUCCGGAAUUAUUGGGCGUAAAGAGCUCGUAGGCGGUCUGUCGCGUCUGCUGUGAAAAUCCAGGGCUCGACCCUGGACCUGCAGUGGGUACGGGCAGACUAGAGUGCGGUAGGGGAGAUCGGAAUUCCUGGUGUAGCGGUGAAAUGCGCAGAUAUCAGGAGGAACACCGGUGGCGAAGGCGGAUCUCUGGGCCGUAACUGACGCUGAGGAGCGAAAGCAUGGGGAGCGAACAGG